GCCCUUUUCAUUCUGCGUCCAGUCGCCUAUAUAGGGCUUGCCUCCCGCAAGGGCGGCUAUGGCGAUAAAUGGCCAUCGUAAUAAACCCAUCGGACCCGGGGGCGGUACCCGGCGCCUCCACCACGGACCGUGGCGACCACGGCCUCUGCUGGGGGCGAAAUAGGAUCGACGAGGGCGUAAAGGGUGUGCUUUUGCUCGAGAUGGUACCGACGUAACGGGCCAUUUUAUAGUUGCCAAUGACAACUAUGCUCCGGCCGCUCUCGCUGCUUAAUGCAGCGCGAUAAGCCGAAAUUCAAGUCCUUGGCCUUAGCCGGCUAAGGCGGGGUUCGCAGGCACCUGGCAACAGAAGCCUGCACU
rnacentral:tmRNA from 1 species